GAGGGUGCAAGCGUUAAUCGGAAUAACUGGGCGUAAAGGGCAUGUAGGCGGAAAAGCAAGUAAGAUGAGAAACACCUGGGCUUAACCUAGGUUGGUCAUUUUAAACUACUUUUCUAGAGUAUCGCAGAGGGAGAUGGAAUUUCAGGUGUAGCGGUGGAAUGCGUAGAUAUCUGAAAGAACACCAGUGGCGAAGGCGAUCUUCUGGGCGAAUACUGACGCUGAGGUGCGAAAGCGUGGGGAGCAAAU
rnacentral:rRNA from 1 species